CCAGAAUGCUGCACGCUACGCUACUGGAAGGUUGACUGUUCCACGCUCAUUGUGCUGAAGUGGUACUUGUGUCUGUGCUGGAUGAGGUGGCAGUGCUGGGUGACACGCUGCUGUAGUGCAAAAUCUCUCCUUGGUCCAAGCCUCUUCCGGGUGAUGUCACUGUGCAUGGCCACCAUAUCGAGGCGACAGCAUCAAAACACCCAGGGGGUACUGGAAGCCAAACACCCAAAAGCAAUGAAAUGGGGCUUCAGACCUUGCACUGAAUUUUGCUGUCUUUGUGAUCAAGAUGGGUUCCCCAUUGAUGAAAACUUGGAAGUCCUUUUGUGUCACCAAUUUGGG